GGUUAAGUAGUUUAAACUAAAACAUUGAGUUGUUAAUUCAAAAGAUGCAAUUAUUGUCUUAACUU
rnacentral:tRNA from 1 species